AUUGAACGCUGGCGGCAGGCCUAACACAUGCAAGUCGAGCGGUAACAGGAAAUAGCUUGCUAUUUUGCUGACGAGCGGCGGACGGGUGAGUAACGCGUAGGAAUUUGCCCAGUAGUGGGGGAUAGCCCGGAGAAAUUCGGAUUAAUACCGCAUACGCCCUAAGGGGGAAAGCAGGGGAUCUUCGGACCUUGCGCUAUUGAAUAAGCCUGCGUGAGAUUAGCUAGUUGGUGAGGUAAGGGCUCACCAAGGCGACGAUCUCUAGCUGGUCUGAGAGGAUGAUCAGCCACACUGGAACUGAGACACGGUCCAGACUCCUACGGGAGGCAGCAGUGGGGAAUAUUGCACAAUGGGCGAAAGCCUGAUGCAGCCAUGCCGCGUGUGUGAAGAAGGCUCUAGGGUUGUAAAGCACUUUCAGUAGGGAGGAAAAGUCGAUAGCUAAUAUCUAUCGGCCGUGACGUUACCUACAGAAGAAGCACCGGCUAAC
rnacentral:rRNA from 1 species